UACGGAGGGUGCAAGCGUUAAUCGGAAUUACUGGGCGUAAAGCGCACGUAGGCUGUUUUGUAAGCCAGGGGUGAAAUCCCACCGCUCACCGGUGGAAUUGCCUUUGGAACUGCAAGACUUGAGUUCGUGAGAGGGUGGCGGAAUUCCUGGUGUAGGAGUGAAAUCCGUAGAGAUCAGGAGGAACACCGGUGGCGAAGGCGGCCACCUGGCGCGAAACUGACGCUGAGGUGCGAAAGCGUGGGGAGCAAACAGG
rnacentral:rRNA from 1 species